UAAUUACCCACUCUCUGAACGAGGAGGUAGUGAAGAUAAAUAUCGAUACAGAACUCAAAUGAGGCUCUGUAAUCGAAAUGAGUACAAUAUAAAUCCUAUAACGAGGAUCUAUUGGAGGGCAAGUCUGGUGCCAGCAGCCGCGGUAACUCCAGCUCCAAUAGCGUAUAUUAAAGUUGCUGCAGUUAAAAAGCUCGUAGUUGGAUCUGGGCCAUGUAGUGAUUGUCGGUUUCGUCCUUGCAUGCUUUCGUGUGCUGGGAUGGGCCGGUAUCUUUGCUCAUGGCUUCGCAGUUGUGUCCUUUUGCUUUCGGGCAAUUGGAUGAUGGUGGAUGUUAGCUUUUGCCCCUUUAUCGGGGGCGGAGGCAGUUCAUCAUCAUGUUCUGUUGAUGCCCUUAACCGGGUGUCCGGAACUCUCAGCACGUUUACUUUGAACAAAUUUGAGUGCUCAAAGCAGGCCGCUUGUUGCCUGAAAAUUCUUGCAUGGAAUAAUAGAAUAGGAUUUUGGUCCUAUUUUGUUGGUUUGAUAGAACUGAAGUAAUGAUAAAAAGGAACAGACGGGGGCAUUUGUAUGGCGGCGCUAGAGGUGAAAUUCGUGGACCGUCGCCAGACAACCUAAAGCGAAAGCAUCUGCCAAGUAUGUUUUCAUUUACCAGGAGCGAAAGUCAGAGGUUCGAAGACGAUCAGAUACCGUCCUAGUUCUGACCAUAAACGAUGCCAACUGACGAUCCGUGGUAGUUCUAUAUAUGAGCCCACGGGCAGUCUCCGGAAAACCUGU
rnacentral:rRNA from 1 species